ACAGAAAAGAGAGGGCAUUCUGGUGCACUCUCCUAGCCAAGUAGGAUUUUGGGCCUCACCAGAGAUGCUAUGAACCUAGUGCUGUGGAAAUCGCAGUGAUGGUUCACAGCAAGGCUCGCUGUGCAGCACAGCUGGGAAUGUGAGUUUCCUCUGUUGGUAAAGUCUUCAGCAUUUAUCUGUGACACUGAAGGG